rnacentral:lncRNA from 1 species
UGGUCAGUGAGAGACAUGAGAAUGGAAGAAUGUCAGAGAGAUGCAACGUUGCUGGUUUUGAAGAUGCAGGAAGCUGGUUAUUCCCAGUUUAGGGAAUGUGGGAGGCCUCUAGAAACUGGAAAAGGCAAGAACAUGGGUUCUCCCUAGAGCCUUCAGACAGAAACACAGUUCUAAGAACACUCUGAUUUUAACCCAGUGAGACCAGUGCCAGACUUCUAAACUACAGAACUGUAAGAAGUUGCUAAGUUUGUGGUAAUCUGUUACAACAGCAAUAGAAAACUAAUAGAACGUGGGAUGAGAUACAAUGAGGACACAGCCUUGUGUUAUUUGCUGGCCAUCACAAACUCUCUUUGUUGUUUCUACUCCUAGGUAAAAGGUCAUUAAUUAGGAGAAGAUUUAUCUCAAGGAAACGUAUGCCAUUUGUGGUGUCUUUUUACUCUAGAUCUGUGGGUAGUGUGGUCAAAGAUGACUUCUGCAGAUAAAAACAUCAUCUUGUAUGCAAGGGCGUGGUGAAAACCUCUGCUACCAUACUGGAUACAAGGUCUUUAACUUCUCAGCACCAGUUUUAUGGAGCCCCCACCGCUAAGCAAGUAUGCAAAAUGCAGUGCUGCUUCGCAUUGGGAAAUCCCCAAUCUGGUGCCAAGAGGUUCAUAAAUACAGUAAUGGACCCUCUUAUGUCAAAAGUGAGUACUGUUUAACAGCGUAAGUUGGAACAGCCUUCAGGAUGCUUUGCAGCUGCAGUUGUUCCACUGCAAGACAUCACAAACUUCAUGAUGAUGGUUGUCACACCAGGUCCUGGAAAGGCAACCUACUUCAGUCUGCAAAGUGAACUAAAAGGGAAUGGUUGUUCAUACAUGGCCCUGAUGCCACUGACAUAAGAAACGCAAUGACAAGAGCGAUGAAGUAGGAAUUUGGUGGCAGAUGGUCAGGUCUGCAGGAAGUGUCCACCCAGCUUUGUUUGGCCCAUAUUCUGAAACAACUAGAAUAAACACUUAGUGUCAUAAUUUAUAAGCAUAUCAGUACCAAUAAAUCAGAAUCAUGCAAACAGUCAUGUUUAUUAUAUUCUUGUUGCUUAAUAUUCAUGACAGUAAUUUAUUUUUAUAGUACAGUUUUACUGUUCUCUCCACCAUUGCUCUCUGCAUUUAAGGCUGGCAAGUUGUACUAGCAGAAGUUCAGGUAACCCUUUGAAGACUGCAAAAUUCAUUAGCCUGGUCAAAAGACUUGAUUUGCUCAUUUAAUUUUUCCCUUUUUCUCUCAUAAACUUUUAAGCCACUGAGAUGAAAUUUCUGGAAACUAAGUAGUAAUAAUACUUCUUCGACAUGUAGAAAAUGUGAAUACU